ACCAGGCAUGUACAAUCCUGCACCUGGCCAAACUGCUCCACAUUCAUAUGGUAUGCAAUACCCACCACCACCAGCUCCAGUACCUCCACCAGGCACUACGUCAAAUGAUGGUGCACAGAACUACCCUCCGGGUGUAACACCACCAAGUUCUGGUGCACCUACCCAGCCUGUCCCUGCUCCAGCAUAUGGGACCUCUGGUGCGCAAAACAUGCCACAUAUGUACCCUCCACCACCUUAUGGUUAUGCCCCAUAUUAUCCAUCUGUCACACCAGUCCAGCCGCCUCCACCACCACCACCACCAGCUAGUGUUGAUCCUUCACAAAGCAUUGCAACUGCACCUUGGGCCACUCACAACGCACCUCCUCCACCGCCACCGCCGGCUAGUGUUGAUUCCUCGCAGAGCGUUGCAACGGCACCUUGGGCUACCCACAAUGCACCGCCGCCACCACCUUUGCCAUCCUCCAACGACCAGCCCACUCCUCCCUAUGGUGCUGAUGCAGAGUAUGAUAAAUUUAUGUCGGAGAUGAAGUGAUAUGAGCGAAGCUG
rnacentral:lncRNA from 1 species